GGUGUUACCAGGAGUUUCCUGCAAACACUUCACGAGUGCCUAUUUUAAUGGGUUGUUGUGAAGUGUUUGGGGGAACUCUUGAUGUCACC
rnacentral:pre_miRNA from 1 species